rnacentral:rRNA from 1 species
UACGGGAGGCAGCAGUAGGGAAUCUUCCGCAAUGGACGAAAGUCUGACGGAGCAACGCCGCGUGAACGAUGAAGGCUUUCGGGUCGUAAAGUUCUGUUGUUAGGGAAGAACAAGUACCGGAGUAACUGCCGGUACCUUGACGGUACCUAACCAGAAAGCCACGGCUAACUACGUGCCAGCAGCCGCGGUAAUACGUAGGUGGCAAGCGUUGUCCGGAAUUAUUGGGCGUAAAGCGCGCGCAGGCGGUCCUUUUAAGUCUGACGUGAAAGCCCACGGCUCAACCGUGGAGGGUCAUUGGAAACUGGGGACUUGAGUGCAGAAGAGGAGAGUGGAAUUCCACGUGUAGCGGUGAAAUGCGUAGAGAUGUGGAGGAACACCGAGUGGCGAAGGCGACUCUCUGGUCUGUAACUGACGCUGAGGCGCGAAAGCGUGGGGAGCGAACAGGGAUUAGAUACC